UACGUAGGGUGCAAGCGUUAAUCGGAAUUACUGGGCGUAAAGCGUGCGCAGGCGGUGAUGUAAGACAGGUGUGAAAUCCCCGGGCUUAACCUGGGAACUGCAUUUGUGACUGCAUCGCUGGAGUGCGGCAGAGGGGGGUGGAAUUCCACGUGUAGCAGUGAAAUGCGUAGAGAUGUGGAGGAACACCGAUGGCGAAGGCAGCCCCCUGGGCCAAUACUGACGCUCAUGCACGAAAGCGUGGGGAGCAAACAGG
rnacentral:rRNA from 1 species